rnacentral:rRNA from 1 species
AUGGGGUGCUUUAAAUUACGAGGAUGCCUUUGUGAACACAAAGAUUCCCUCAUAAGGAAGUUUUGGUGGGGGCGAAGGAAGGAAGGAAGGAAGGAAGGAAGAAGAAUAGCUUGGGUUUCUUAAGAAGAAAUGUCUCAACCCAAAUAUAUGGGAGGAAUGGGGUUUAGGAAGAUGGAACUUUUUAACGUGGCCUUGUUAGGUAAACAAGGGUGGCGGAUGUUGCAAAAUCCCGACACACUCGAUGCAUGGAUUUUGAAGACACUGUAUUUUCCUAAUGGAUAGUUCCUUUCUGUGUCAUUGGGUUCUUGUCCUUCACAAAUUUGGCACUUGAUCUUUGAGGGCUGAGAGGCUUUGAAGCAGGGGAUUAUCAAGAGGAUUGGUAAUGGCCAGAAAACGAACAUUUGGAGUGACAAUUGGCUCCCGGGGCUAAACAUGGUGAGACAAAUAGCACCAUUGGUGAACAACAGUUCAAAGAUUGUGAGCGACUAA